AGGGUUUGAUCAUGGCUCAGGAUGAACGCUAGCUACAGGCUUAACACAUGCAAGUCGAGGGGAAACGAUAUUGGAAGCUUGCUUCCGAUAGGCGUCGACCGGCGCACGGGUGAGUAACGCGUAUCCAACCUGCCCACCACUUGGGGAUAACCUUGCGAAAGUAAGACUAAUACCCGAUGAUAUCUCUAGACGACAUCUGAAAGGGAUUAAAGAUUUAUCGGUGAUGGAUGGGGAUGCGUCUGAUUAGGCAGUUGGCGGGGUAACGGCCCACCAAACCGACGAUGGAUAGGGGUUCUGAGAGGAAGGUCCCCCACAUUGGUACUGAGACACGGACCAA
rnacentral:rRNA from 1 species